rnacentral:lncRNA from 1 species
UCCACCCCACGUUCCCUCUCUACUCGGGAUCCUGGAUUUUAGAAACCUUUGAGCCCAGCCCUUCUCCCCUCCCUCUUGACGGAGUAGAAAAAGGGAAGUGUGUGGCAUCCGUGUUAUAAUAACCAAUGAUAGCUCCCAACCUGGAGGAGCGAUGGUAGAAGAAACCUGCACUUCAUGGGACUUUAGAGAUCGUCUAGUCCAACCGCCUAGUUUUACAGCUGAAGAAAAUGAGCCCUGGGUAAAGGAAGUGACCAGGGAGACUGCCAUGAACAGACCUGGUUCUGAACAUGAAGGAGAAAUAAUUAGGAUAUUGGGAUAUGACUAGAUUGAUAAUUCUGGAGAAUGCUUUUAGAUUUCACUGAUGGAUUUUAUAAACUCUCUCAUACUCUCCUUCUGCACGAUAUGAAGAUGGGCAGAAACAUUUGGAUUUGUUGGUAUUUGUCAAGUCCAGAACAGCCAAAAUUAAAAUUAGAAAAAGUGAGUGAAAACAAAGGCACAGUUUGGAUUGGCGCAGCUAUCUCCAAAACAUUGGAAAACUUCUACUAAGGCUUCUGCUGUGCUGGUUACAUCUUCUGUGAAGGUUUAUGGAAGGAGUCAGACAAGAAUCGCACAAGGAGAAGGCAUGGAUGGGUCAAGAUCUCCAUCAGUGAAGACAGGAUCCACAUACCCAGAUCUGCGAAAGUAAUGGAGUGCCUGAAAAAAAUGAGGGAAUGAGACAUUCUGGAAAGGGAGACUUUUAAAAAAUUAAAAUUGUCCUACCAGCUGUUUUAGAUUAAAGUUCAUGCUGCAGUUUAAGUUCCUUUCUAACAGUUUUUCUUUGGUGAAGGAUAUUUUUCUUAAUUAAAUAUAAAUUUAUUAUUAUAACAGCCCGACAUUUCUAUACCAACUUUCCCCUAUAGCUCCCAAAACUAAUUAAAAACAUUUCCAAACUACUGUCUGUUCCCUGGGAAAAGAAAUAUUUAAAUCUGAAAUAUUCAAUUAAGUUCUUGGAUGUAUUACUUCCUUAAAAGAUUUAGAUCCAUGUGAUUAUACACCCAGUUACAUCCAUAUAAAAAUAUAUGGCAAUCUACUACCCUUUGGCAUUGGAACUGAUACUUAGAAUCCAUUGAUGGAAGGUAAAUGUUUGGAAAAAAAAAAGAUGUAGCAACAUUCACAUUUAUACCUAUGUAUCUAUUAAAAAAAAACAAAGCUUUGUGGUUUUCUUUUCAAUAUUCUCUUCUGUAUAUAGAAACAUUUGGAUUUGUUGGUAUUUUUCAAGUCCAGAACAGCCAAAAUUAAAAUUAGAAAAAGUGAGGAAUCAAAAUAAUACUGUGUAUUGGCUCCAAGGCAAAAGAUAAGUAAGGGCUAGGCAGUGGGGGUGAAGUGACUUGCCCAGAAUCACACAGCUAAGGAAAUGUCUGAGGCCAGUUUUGAACCUAAGACCUCUCAAUCCACUGAGCCUAGCUGCCCCCUGUUCUAUUUUUAUUGUUCAUGCUUCAAUGUAAAAAUAAUGCCUUACCACAGCUGAGCCUUGUUGCCUUUCAUCCACGCUGUAUGUAUUUUGCGUUUAUUUUUAAUUUAUAUAAUUUCUUCCCCUUAGGACAUAAGCUUCUUGAGGGCAGCAACUCUUUUUGCUUUUUUCUUUGAGUUUCCAGUGCCUGGCAUAUAAUAAAUGCUUAGGAUAUGCUUGUUGAUUGAUUGAU